GGGCACAGGCUGGCUCUUGGGGUGUCUUCAUUGUAGGGUGCACACUAACAAUGAGUAUCAACAGAUGCCUUUAAUGAUGCCAUUGCAGUGAAAUGGCUUCUUGGUUUUCCAGGUUCAGACCUUCUCAGAGCUAUUUCAGUCAUUAAAGAGACGAAAAACAAACAAGGGCCGCUCGCCGGGCUGAGGACGAACCUGAUGGGGUGAGCGCAUGGGGGACCUGCAUCCUGCUCCCGCCAGCCGUCAGGGAGGGGCCGGAUCCCCUCACAGGUGUCCCCCUGGUGGACUUCCUGAUCUCUCAGGGGGCAUCUCUUUCUGGAAGUGAAGAAUCAAAAAUCCAUCUCUAAAGCCUCAAAAAGGUGGGCAAAGCAGAAUGGAGGGGUUGGAUCCAGAGGUUGGUGACAGAGAAUGACGCUCAGGAGGUGCAGAAGUCAGAUGACUGUCCCGCAAGCUGGACGACAAGGACUUGGGAGACUACUGACAGUGGAAACACUACCUGUGUCUUAACUUGGACAUGAAUUCUGAAGCUGGGCUAAAGGUAUUUAGAAUUAUACCAGAACAUCGUAACAGCGAGGCAGGGAGGAAACUGGCUCUUCGUGGAUGGGGUUCGUUACUCAUAUGUCAGCCUCAGAACUGGUGGGAUCUGCACCGGCGUCCGCCAGGCUCUGAUGUUGAGGAGCAUUGCAGACAUUCCUACGGCGGGUUGUUCUUUCGCUCCGCCACCAGGACACUGACUGCUGCUUUGAACGCCAAAAUAC